rnacentral:piRNA from 1 species
UCCUAAAUUGGCAAGGACGUUCCUCUUA